GCUGAGAUGGCUCAGCUGGUAGAGCAUGAGACUCUUAAUCUCAGGGACAUGGGUUCGAGCCUACCUUGGGCA